CCUCCGGGGGAAAGUAACGAUCCGAGCAGCCCACACCGACGCAUCCAUGCGCACGGAGACAGACGGUCGCCUAGGCGGCUCGGGGAGCGAGUGGCGAGACCGAACCCGCCCAGC
rnacentral:ncRNA from 1 species